GAGUGAGCACAGCUCUUUUAGAAUUUUUCUAACACGAUUUCUGACCUUGGUCAGAAAAGCCAAU